AACCCAUCUAACAGAUCCAUAAUAGAUGAUGCGGGUAAGCCUUGUGCUGAUGACCCGUUUUGAGGCAGAGAUGGCCCGGUUGACAAUAAAUCCAGCAGAACAUCGGCUCCACUUUUCUGUGGCUGAGUUGUACCUGAAAUGAUACAAGUAAACAUAAAGAAGCAAAAGUUAAUGUUCGUUUAUUAAGAAAAUGGGCAUGUUCGUGUUUGUGUAUGUUCGUUCAUUUAAAACCUAACCAAACAGUUCACGAACGUAAACGAACAUAAACAAGCAAACUUAAACGAACAUAAUUUAUAAACAACACAAAUGAACAUAAUUGACUAAAUAUAAACGAACACAAAGUAAUUUUUAUAUAUAUUAGUAAUUAAUUACGAUAGGUUCUAUUGGAAAACUCAUUUUUACUAGAAAGCCCAAUCACCAAUUAGUUAUAUUUAUAUAAGUAGUUAGAAGGUUCCUUUUAUGUUUAAUAUUUAUAUAGAUAUAACUACUUAUAUGUAUUUAAAUUGAAACUAACAUAAACGAACGAACAUAAUCAAAUGUAAAUAAACGAACAUAAACGGACGUUCACGAACAUAAAUGAACGAACACACGUGUGUUCAUGUUCGGUCGUUUGUUCGUUUAUUAAAUAAACGAACAUAAACAAACUUCCCGCCAAACAAGUUCACGAACAGUUCAUGAACGUUUGGUUGGUUUACAGGCCAUUUAAUAUACAAUACUGUCAGCAGAAAACAAAAAGUAGUUUCACAAGUACUGAAUAUAACCUGCCGGAGAUGCAGAUGACAAGAUAUCUCCACCAAGUAGGUCCUGAAGAAAAUUAGGACCUGAAGAAUUUUGCGGUGCGGGUUCAUCUGCACUUAAAUCAAGCAAGUCCAAUAACGGGGCAUCAACGGUUUUGUGAACACCGUUAGGAAUCUGAAGUGGAUUGCCCUGUGAGGUGGAAGUGACAGCUGGCAGAGAACCAGCCCUCCUUCCACUGUAAGUGGCUUCAUCAAGAACCGGCAUCCUCUCAACCAGUGCAGACCUUUAAAACGGUUAAAAUUGUAAAUAUAUAUUAGUUUUUGGAAUUUUAUUUGGCUUUUUUUUUUUCUGGUAAAAAGAUGGCUGUCAACUUGUCUAAAUAAAUGGACACAAAAAGUACUAUAUUAUGC
rnacentral:lncRNA from 1 species